rnacentral:tRNA from 1 species
AGAGCUAUAGUCAACAAUGACAUCUGAUUUGCAAUUAGGAAGUGCUUUUAUAAGCUGGCUUUA